rnacentral:rRNA from 1 species
CCUACGGGUGGCAGCAGUGAGGAAUAUUGGUCAAUGGGCGCGAGCCUGAACCAGCCAAGUAGCGUGAAGGAUGACUGCCCUACGGGUUGUAAACUUCUUUUGUAAAGGAGUAAGGUGCGGCACGUGUGCCUUUUUGUGUGUACUUUAUGAAUAAGGAUCGGCUAACUCCGUGCCAGCAGCCGCGGUAAUACGGAGGAUCCGAGCGUUAUCCGGAUUUAUUGGGUUUAAAGGGAGCGUAGAUGGGUUGUUAAGUCAGUUGUGAAAGUUUGCGGCUCAACAGUAAAAUUGCAAUUGAUACUGGCAGCCUUGAGUACAGGUGAGGUAGGCGGAAUUCGUGGUGUAGCGGUGAAAUGCUUAGAUAUCACGAAGAACUCCGAUCGCGAAGGCAGCUUACUAAACUGCAACUGACAUUGAUGCUCGAAAGUGUGGGUAUCAAACAGGAUUAGAUACCCGGGUAGUC